CCUGAAUGAUCCUGCCAGUAGCAUAUGCGUGUCUCAAAGAUUAAGCCAUGCACGUUUAAGUACACUUGACCAGUAAAGUGAAACUGAAAAUGGUUCAUUAAAUCAGUUAUGGUUCCUUUGAUCGCUCCAUCUGUUAAUUGGAUAACUGUGGUAAUUCUAGAGCUAAUGCACCUCCUGGGAUGCAUGCAUUUAUCAGACCAAGACCAAUCUGGGCUCGCCCAGCUGCUUUGGUGACUCUAGAUAACCUCGGGCCGAUCACACAUCCCUGUGACGGCGUAUAUGCAUUUGGAUGUCUGUCCUAUCAAUUUUUGAUGGUAUUUUCUGUGCCUACCAUGGUGACCAUGGGUAAUGGGGAAUCAGGGUUUGAUUCUGGAGAGGGAGCCUGAUAAACGGCUACCACAUCAAGGAAGGCAGCAGGUGCCCAAAUUACCCACUCCCAACUCUGGAGGUAGUGACGAAAAAUAACAAUACAGGACUCUUUCGAGGCACUGUAAUUGGAAUGAGUACACUUUAAAUCCUUUAACGAGUACCCAUUGGACUACAAGUCUGGGGCAGCAGCUGUGGUAAUUCCAGCUCCAAUAGCAUAUAUUAUAGUUGCUGCAGUUAAAAGGCUCGUAGUUGGAUCUUGGGAUCGAGCUGGUGGGCCACCGCGAGGCGAGCUAUCGCCUGCCUCUUGGCGCCCCCUUGAUGCUCUUGACUGUGUGUCCUGGGGGUCUGAAGCAUUUACUUUGAAAAAAGUAGUGUGUUCAAAGCAGGCCGGUCGCCUGAAUACUUAGCUAGGAAUAAUGGAAUAGGACUCUAGUUCCAUUUUGUUUUUCGGAAACUGGGGCCAUGAUUAAGAGGGACGGCCGGGGGCAUUCGUAUUGUGACACUGGAGUUGAAAUUCUUGGACCGGCGCAAGACGAACCAAAGUGAAAGCGUUAGCCAAUGUUUUCAUUAAUCAAGAACGAACGUCUGCGGUUCGAAGAUGAUCUGAUACCGUCGUAGUUCCGACCAUAAACGAUGCUGAUUAGCGAUCACGUGGUGUUAUUCCCAUGACACGCCAAGCCGCUUCCGGGAAACUGAAGUCCUUGGGUUCUGGGUUCGAAUAUGGUUGCAAAGCUGAAACUGGAAUUGACGGAAGGGCACCACCAGGAGUGGAGCCUGCGGCUUAAUUUGACUCAACACGGGAAACUUCACCCGCCCGGUGAUAGCUCUUUCUCGAUUCUGUGGGAGGUGGUGCUUGGCCGUUCUUAGUUGGUGGAGCCAUUUGUCUGGUUAAUAACGAUAACGAACGAGACUCCAUGCUAACUAAUUAUUUCCCAUGAACGAGGAAUUCCAUUAAGUGCGGGUCAUAAGCUUGCAUUGAUUAAGUCCCUACCCUUUGUACACACCGCCCGUCGCUACUACUGAUUGGAUGGUUUAGUGAGGUCCUCGGAUCAGCCCCGCCAGCAAAGUCCCUGACGGAGCGGCGAGAAGACGAUCAAACUUGACUAGAGGAAGUAAAAGUCGUACGGGUUGGGUUAACCUGCUGGGGACGUCCCC
rnacentral:rRNA from 1 species